AUGAACGCUGGCGGCGUGCUUAACACAUGCAAGUCGAACGGAAAGGCUCCUGCUUGCAGGGGUACUCGAGUGGCGAACGGGUGAGUAACACGUGGGUGAUCUGCCCUGCACUUCGGGAUAAGCCUGGGAAACUGGGUCUAAUACCGGAUAGGACGAUGGUUUGGAUGCCAUUGUGGAAAGUUUUUCGGUGUGGGAUGAGCUCGCGGCCUAUCAGCUUGUUGGUGGGGUAAUGGCCUACCAAGGCGUCGACGGGUAGCCGGCCUGAGAGGGUGUACGGCCACAUUGGGACUGAGAUACGGCCCCGACUCCUACGGGAGGCAGCAGUGGGGAAUAUUGCACAAUGGGCGCAAGCCUGAUGCAGCGACGCCGCGUGGGGGAUGACGGCCUUCGGGUUGUAAACUCCUUUCGCUAGGGACGAAGCGCAAGUGACGGUACCUGGAGAAGAAGCACCGGCUAACUACGUG
rnacentral:rRNA from 1 species